GAUGAAGAACGUAGCGAAAUGCGAUAAGUAGUGUGAAUUGCAGAAUUCAGUGAAUCAUCGAAUCUUUGAACGCACAUUGCGCCCUUUGGUAUUCCUUAGGGCAUGCCUGUUCGAGCGUCAUUUAAACCUUCAAGCUCAGCUUGGUGUUGGGUGACUGUCCGCUUCACCGCGGACUCGCCUCAAAAUUAUUGGCGGCCGGUACAUUGGCUUCGAGCGCAGCAGAAACGCGAACUCGGGCCCGUCGUAUUGGCUCCCAGAAGCUAUCUUCACAAUUUUGACCUCGGAUCAGGUAGGGAUACCCGCUGAGCUUAAGCAUAUCAAUAAGCGGAGGA
rnacentral:misc_RNA from 1 species